GUAGGGGGCUAGCGUUGUCCGGAUUUAUUGGGCGUAAAGAGCGUGUAGGCGGCCAGGCAGGUCCGCUGUGAAAACUCGAGGCUUAACCUCGAGACGUCGGUGGAAACCGUCUGGCUAGAGUCCGGAAGAGGAGAGUGGAAUUCCCGGUGUAGCGGUGAAAUGCGCAGAUAUCGGGAAGAACACCCGUGGCGAAGGCGGCUCUCUGGGACGGUACUGACGCUGAGACGCGAAAGCGUGGGGAGCGAACAGGAUUAGAUACCCUGGUAGUCCACGCCGUAAACGAUGGGUGCUAGGUGUGGGCGGUGUCGACUCCGUCUGUGCCGAAGCUAACGCAUUAAGCACCCCGCCUGGGGAGUACGGCCGCAAGGCUAAA
rnacentral:rRNA from 1 species